GACACAAACCUAAUUCUUUUCAUUUGUUGGAGCCGUCAAGAAAAAAAAAACAAGGGAUUUUUUUCUCCCACCAUCUCUCGGGCUCUCUCUCCUCGCCGACCUUGUGUCUUCUAGCCGGACUCUCUCUCCUGCCUCUCCUCGCUGCCGUCAUGACAUCUCUCCUUGCCGCCAGCUCUCCUCUCUCUCACACACAGCCGGAUCUACUUUAUCUCACGCCCCACACCACUAUCGUUGGAGGAAGCAAGGCACGAUGAGGCCGGAGCCACACUUCCAUGGGAGAUGAAGGAUUGAGAAGAAGCUUGAUGGUUAAGGAGACAGGGCCGGUGGUGGUGCGGCUGUGGUUGUGGUUCGGCUCUGGUGGUGGUGCGGCGGAGGAGGCAAGGAGUCGGCUGAUUUAUUUUCUAGGGUUAAUUUUUUUUUUAGAAUUAGGUUAGCUUAAUUAGGUUUAGUUAAACUGGUUUAUUUAACUAAACCAGCUUAUUAUAACUUUUUAGCUUAUUAUAAUUUUUUAGGCUUUUAAUAUAUUCAUGUAUUUAAAUAUGUAUCUGUAUGUAUAUAUAUUUCGGUAUAUAUAUUUAUUUACAUUC